rnacentral:sRNA from 1 species
UGAACCGUGAUGAGAGGAUAAAAGUAGCCAGGGGAAGUGAAACCGAGAGAACCGGCGGCAGGUGCAAGCAGGUCACGCUCCCUUUUGUGAAAUACGCCCUUGAACGGUUUUUUUAGAGGAGAAGGAAUGGUGAUUCCUUAAUAAGGGUGGUACCGCGGAGAAAUGCUUCGUCCCUUGC